rnacentral:rRNA from 1 species
UAGAGUUUGAUCCUGGCUCAGAUUGAACGCUAGCGGGAUGCCUUACACAUGCAAGUCGAACGGCAGCACGGACUUCGGUCUGGUGGCGAGUGGCGAACGGGUGAGUAAUGUAUCGGAACGUGCCCAGUAGCGGGGGAUAACUACGCGAAAGCGUAGCUAAUACCGCAUACGCCCUACGGGGGAAAGCAGGGGAUCGCAAGACCUUGCACUAUUGGAGCGGCCGAUAUCGGAUUAGCUAGUUGGUGGGGUAACGGCUCACCAAGGCGACGAUCCGUAGCUGGUUUGAGAGGACGACCAGCCACACUGGGACUGAGACACGGCCCAGACUCCUACGGGAGGCAGCAGUGGGGAAUUUUGGACAAUGGGGGAAACCCUGAUCCAGCCAUCCCGCGUGUGCGAUGAAGGCCUUCGGGUUGUAAAGCACUUUUGGCAGGAAAGAAACGUCGUGGGUUAAUACCCCGCGAAACUGACGGUACCUGCAGAAUAAGCACCGGCUAACUACGUGCCAGCAGCCGCGGUAAUACGUAGGGUGCAAGCGUUAAUCGGAAUUACUGGGCGUAAAGCGUGCGCAGGCGGUUCGGAAAGAAAGAUGUGAAAUCCCAGAGCUUAACUUUGGAACUGCAUUUUUAACUACCGGGCUAGAGUGUGUCAGAGGGAGGUGGAAUUCCGCGUGUAGCAGUGAAAUGCGUAGAUAUGCGGAGGAACACCGAUGGCGAAGGCAGCCUCCUGGGAUAACACUGACGCUCAUGCACGAAAGCGUGGGGAGCAA